rnacentral:rRNA from 1 species
UGCCAGCCGCCGCGGUAAUACGAAGGGAACUAGCGUUGUUCGGAUUUACUGGGCGUAAAGAGCAUGUAGGCGGAUUGGACAGUUGGAGGUGAAAUCCCGGAGCUCAACUCCGGAACUGCCUUCAAUACUUCCAGUCUAGAAUCUGUAAGGGGGUGGUGGAAUUCCGAGUGUAGAGGUGAAAUUCGUAGAUAUCCGGAGGAACACCAGAGGCGAAGGCGGCUAUCUGGACCAGUACUGACGCUGAGGAGCGAAAGCGUGGGGAGCGAACAGGAUUAGAUA